GACGAACGCUGGCGGCGUGCUUAACACAUGCAAGUCGAACGGAAAGGCCCUGCUUUUGUGGGGUGCUCGAGUGGCGAACGGGUGAGUAACACGUGAGUAACCUGCCCUUGACUUUGGGAUAACUUCAGGAAACUGGGGCUAAUACCGGAUAGGAGCUCCUGCUGCAUGGUGGGGGUUGGAAAGUUUCGGCGGUUGGGGAUGGACUCGCGGCUUAUCAGCUUGUUGGUGGGGUAGUGGCUUACCAAGGCUUUGACGGGUAGCCGGCCUGAGAGGGUGACCGGCCACAUUGGGACUGAGAUACGGCCCAGACUCCUCCGGGAGGCAGAAGUGGGGAAUAUUGCACAAUGGGCGGACGACUCAUGCAGCAACGCCGCGUGCGGGAUGAGUGCCUUCGGGUUGUAAACCGCUUUCGCCUGUGACGAAGCGUGAGUGACGGUAAUGGGUAAAGAAGCACCGGCUAACUACGUG
rnacentral:rRNA from 1 species